AAGUGAACUGGUGGUUAAAAAGAGCCUGGCACCUGUCCCCCCUCCCUUUUGCUUCCUCUCUCACCAUGUGGUCAGUUCACACCAGCCUUUCCUUGCCUUGUACUGUGAGUGGAAGCAGCCUGAGGGUGUCAUCAGAAGCAGAUGUUGGUGCCAGGCUUCUUAUAGUUUGUAGAACUGUGAACCAAAGAAACCUCGUUUCUUUAUAAAUUAUUCAACUUCAGGUAUUCUUUUCUCACAACACAAAAUGAUCCAAGACAGUACCUAAAAGCUUCAAUUUGCCAUUUGAUUCUUCCUAUGAGAUGACUAGAUUUUUUUAGGAGGACAGGUCUAUCUAUCUGGAAAGAAGCCGUUUGGAAUGGAAGCAGUAUGAAACAAGCAUAAUUUUCUUGGUUUAAGCCAACCUUAUUAUAAGCCCCUGAAUCUUACAACUUUAUUACAUUUCUGCAAAUAUCCAGAAGCUUAUGUAUUUAUUAUUCUUUCAGGCUCUUGAGUUUCUGCUUUCAAGUGACCCUCAGAAAUUCCCCCAUUCACUGCAGAGGUUCUGUUUCUCCUUGCUUUGUUCUGACUUUACGGCAGAACUAAGCUGAUGAGUUAGUUACUAUGGGUUAUCACUUGGAUUUGAAGAACCAUCAUUUCUAGGCAUUGCUGCUCAGAGUGGGUCUGCCCUCAGGGGAAGCUGUCUAACCAGAGCCUAACCCACUAGGGUUUUAUCAGAACCUAACUGACCUGAGGAAAAGAAAUAUUCAACUCCAGCAAGCUCCAGCCUUCCAAAUGGAGGAGAAGAAAACCCAACUCCAGCCCACUUCAGCUAUCUUGUCCCACAUAAAGGGGAAGUGGAAGAAACCUGAGAAGCAGGCAUGAAGUUCACAGUCCAGAGGUACAGACACAUCAGAGUUCAGUAUCUGAUGAAUUAGAUGCAAAAACCUCAACAAAGUAUUAGCAAAUUGAAUUCAACAAUGUAUGAAAAUUAUUACAUGCCAUGACUAAUUGGAAUUUAUCUCAGGUAUACAAGCCAUGCUGAACAUCUGAAAAUCAAUUCAUGUGAUCCAUCACAUUAGCAGACUCAAGAAAAAAAACCACAUUAUCAUAUCAGUAGAUGUAGAAAAAAAAAUUUAACAAAAUCCAGCACCCAUUCACAAUGAAAAUGCCCAGUAAAUUAGAAAUAGAAGGUAACUUCCUCAAAUUGAUAAGGAAUAUCUCUAAAAACCUACAACUAAAAUCAUACUUAAUGGUAGAAAACUAGAAGCCUUCCCAGUAAGAGUAAGAACAAGGCAAAGAUGUAUGCUCUCACCAAUGCUUUUCAACAUCAUAUAUUGGAAGUCCUAGCUAGUGCAAUAAGCAAAAAAAAAAAAAAAAAAAAAAAAGUUAUGUUAAUAAGAACAAAAACUGUGUUUGUUUGCAGAUGACAUGAUUUUCUAUGCAAAAAAUUCAAAA
rnacentral:sRNA from 1 species